AAUUAGUAAGUGCAACUGAUUUCAUCUUUUUUGUACUUAUUUCUAACUAAGAAAUUAAAAAAUAUGAAAAUUUUGAAUUGAUAUCAAUAGUUUGAUCAUUAGUUAUUGAAAUUCUAUUUUACUAUACGAUUUGUUAAGAAUUUGUUUAAGAUCAUGGAUUUGAUUAGGAUUCGAUUUAAGAUUUGAUUUAGAAUUUUAUUAGGAUUAAAAUUUUAAGAAAUCUUCAAAUUUGUAAACAUAUUUUUAUUUUUCAAAAUCUUAGCCAAUCAAGAAUAUUAUUGACUUUAAAAAUUCUUCAAAAAUUUAAUAUUGAU
rnacentral:lncRNA from 1 species